UACGGAGGGGGCGAGCGUUGUUCGGAAUUAUUGGGAGCGUAAAGGGUGCGUAGGCGGUUUGGUAAGUCUUAUGUGAAAUCUACAGGCUCAACUUGUAGUCUGCAUGAGAAACUGCCGGGCUUGAGUAUGGGAGAGGUGAGUGGAAUUCCUGGUGUAGCGGUGAAAUGCGUAGAUAUCAGGAGGAACACCUGUGGCGAAAGCGGCUCACUGGACCAUAACUGACGCUGAUGCACGAAAGCUAGGGGGAGCAAACAGG
rnacentral:rRNA from 1 species